GUAGUCUCGCACAGAUGCAUAUCAAUAAGCGGAGGAAAAGAAACUAACAAGGAUUCCCUCAGUAACGGCGAGUGAAGCGGGAAGAGCUCAAAUUUGAAAUCUUGAAAGGUCACCUUUCACGAAUUGUAGUUUAAAGAAGUGUUUUCUGUUACGAUCGUAAUAUAAGUUCUUUGGAAUAGGACAUCACAGAGGGUGAGAAUCCCGUCUAUGAUUGCGAUUUGUAGCUUUGUGAUACACUUUCAAAGAGUCGGGUUGUUUGGGAAUGCAGCCCAAAACGGGAGGUAAAUUUCUUCUAAGGCUAAAUAUUGGCGAGAGACCGAUAGCGAACAAGUACCGUGAGGGAAAGAUGAAAAGAACUUUGAAAAGAGAGUUAAAUAGUACGUGAAAUUGUCAAAAGGGAAGCGUAUAACACCAGUGUUGUUUUCUGAAAAUCAACCUCUGUUAGCUUUAUGCAUGUUUGUUUAGACCUAAUCAGCUAUCUUGCAUGUUCUAUUGUUUGCAGUGGUGCACUUUUCAGUUUACAGGUCAACAUCAGUUUUUUUUACCGUAAAAAAGUUAAAGAAAGGUAGCUCAUGGCUCCGGUCGUGAGUGUUAUAGUCUUUUUCCUAUGCGGUAGGAGAGACUGAGGUCUGCAGUGUAGGCUAUUUGGCUAGAUACUCAGGUGCUAUGUGAUACCAUUUCAUAAACAACUUGUUGAUUAUGUUUUGUCUAUUGCAUACUCGCUUGUACUAUCAUACCUACGCUUAGGAUGUUGAGUCGUAGAGCACGCAG
rnacentral:rRNA from 1 species